GUUGAAGAGCAGCUCAAAGUUACAGACGGUGUUGCCAUUUGUUCAACCUUGUAGUUGUCAUAUACCCUGGUCUUGUUAUGUUCCCACCAAUGCUGAGCUUCCUUCUCACCAAAAUGCUUCCGGCUGCACAGCCAAGAAUUCAGGACGAUGUAGAAAAUGUGACAUAUACACCAUGCUCAAUUUGUUCAGUCACACUAUCAGUCGGAGGGGCAGCCAAUGGUGCUUCCGUGGUGUACCCAUCGCUGCUAAAUUUCCUGGCCCCAUUCUGUUGACUGAACGGUACAUCUUCUGGCACAACAGCAUUUGACAAAGAUUCCGGCCGGUGUUCCCUUGCAAUUCUAUUUUCGUCGGUUGCAUUGGGAUGCUAUUAGGUGUUAUCUUGGAGUUUUCUGACAGCUGACCAAUUGAAAGUUUCUCUGACAAGGCAUUGCACUGCACAUUUCGCAAUACACCAAGUUAAUAGGUCAUAUAUCAACCAAAAGUUCAGAACGCCCCAGCCCCCCACGAUAUAAGAUAUGAAUAGAGCAGGGCACUCAACUUGCCCCCAUCUUUCAGUUUUUGUCUGCACUGCAGUGGCAGGUUCCUCAUUUCUCUGAUUAGUACCUUGUACUGAAGCCAUCUUUUCUGCAAAAAAGUUUGCUUCCUUGAAUAGGCGUGACAAUUUAGCUGAUAACCUGCACUUUCGCUGAAGAUAGCUGCGGGGACUGAUUGCGCAACUGUUUAUCUGUCUACCGCUCUUUGAGCCAGCCAAUGGAAGUGGACUAUAAGGAGAAGAUGUUAAGGCAGUCAAACCAAGAAACCAGCAUUCAGCUUGAUCUCUGUCUCUGCAGAUCUGGGCCAACGAAAUUUUCAAAACAUGUGGUAUGAGUAGGGAAAACAUAUACUAUAAGAUUGCAGCUCUAACUGAUUUAAGAUCUAGUAAGAGGAGUACCAAGUCUAUUGAGCACUCGCCGUUUUUGUAUACGAGUGACAAGGAUUGUGAUUCCUUCUCUGGCCAGCGAUGACGCAGAAAAUUCAUCUGUAAAGUUCUGAAAUCCUUAGAAUAUUGUAUUGCUAUGUGACGAAGGGACAAGCAUCAUAACUUAAUCAGGGCAUAAUGAAUUGCUUACAGUCUUCUGCCCAAGAACAACAGUGGAAACGGAAUUUAAGCUCAGGUGUUUUUCCCUGUCCUUCGAGUACCAGACUAAUGUUUUCUCAUCCUGCAAAGAGGAAAGAAAUCCUUUGGCAUGACAGCAAAGAGAAGAAAUCCUUUCGCAUGACAUAAAAGCUGCAGGUACAAAAUUCUAUGUGGUAACAGAUUAUUGGUAUUCCAAAAGGCCACAGAGGCACUAACAAAUUGCAUACUUCGGCUGGUUUUAGCUGCAAGCACUAUUUUCGUAAUAGUGGUAAAAGAAUUACUCACUGAAGAUAGCCUGAAUGGGCAGAAUUUGGGCUUCCCUCUCUUUCCAAAUUUCAGGAGAUGUGCUCCCUUCUUCAGAGCAACAAUGGCCUGGAUAGCAGAAACAAAACAAAAGGAAAAAGAAAAAAAAUCAGAACUCCUCCACUCUCAGGGCAACAUGGAUUUGAUGGGUGAUCAUUCGGAUUUAAUCCGAGCAGUUUUUCUCAGUACGAACGCUGACUCCAUGAGGUUGAGAGAGAAUAUAAUAGGAAAACAAUGCAUUUCAUUUCCCCCAGAAGAUGUAGCGAUGGUAGUCCAACGGGUUAGCAAUAAAAGCGAGACAUUUGAAGGCUUGCAAUUCCAAAAAUAAUCGAAAGAAAUCCAAUAAAUCAAUAAAUGGCGUCAAAAUUACUCUCAAGAGGCUAGAAAGGAGGGGGGAAAGGGGAAAUCUUUUACAGACCUGCUCAACUCCUCUUGUUGGCAUCCUCCCAUCAAAACUCCCAGCCAUGGCAAAAGCAAGAUGAGGUUGUUACUCUCCUCUGCUCACAGGUAGCUCAGCCAAGGAUGGCAAUGCAGCGUCUGAAAGAAAAAUGGAGAAAGGAGGAAAGAAAUGGAGCAGUUUGAGGCUUUGAGCUCAACGGGCUCAACGGGGAAGUGCCUCUUGCAGAAGAGCUGCAGCGAUUCAGUGACCCUGGAAAAAGCUAAACAGUGGAGAGAGGAGUCGCUGGCCGUUGGGCUUUUGUCUUCUGUUCGCGCACACACGCUGAAGUGCAGUUCAGACUUCAGACCGGGAAAAGGCUUCCGCCAUCAGCGUUCUUUGAGCUGGUGCUCUGACACUCUGAAGCCCUUAUCUCUAUCGCCUUCUCCAUUAUAAUUCUUGUGUCUGUAUACUCCUACCUCUACUAGUGCUAGUACUGUAGUACUACAAAACAACCAUUACUCAUACUGUUUGGUUAGCGUGUGGACAACAGUACGUGAGUCAGUAAGGAGGGGAUUAAGAAAUGUGUUAUGUUUGCUUGUC